rnacentral:rRNA from 1 species
GAUGAACGCUGGCGGCGUGCUUAACACAUGCAAGUCGAACGGAAAGGCUCCUGCUUGCAGGGGUACUCGAGUGGCGAACGGGUGAGUAACACGUGGGUGAUCUGCCCUGCACUUCGGGAUAAGCCUGGGAAACUGGGUCUAAUACCGGAUAGGCCGAUGUUCUGGAUGCCAUUGUGGAAAGUUUUUUCGGUGUGGGAUGAGCUCGCGGCCUAUCAGCUUGUUGGUGGGGUAAUGGCCUACCAAGGCGUCGACGGGUAGCCGGCCUGAGAGGGUGUACGGCCACAUUGGGACUGAGAUACGGCCCAGACUCCUACGGGAGGCAGCAGUGGGGAAUAUUGCACAAUGGGCGCAAGCCUGAUGCAGCGACGCCGCGUGGGGGAUGACGGCCUUCGGGUUGUAAACUCCUUUCGCUAGGGACGAAGCGCAAGUGACGGUACCUGGAGAAGAAGCACCGGCUAACUACGUG